GCCUCGGUGGCGGAAUUGGUAUACGCGUCAGACUUAAAAUCUGAUGGUCCUAGACCUUGUGGGUUCGAGUCCCACCCGAGGCACUA
rnacentral:tRNA from 1 species